GUUUGUUUCUGACACUGAAUACACCCAAUCUCAUCUGAUCUGCAAAGCUAAGCAGGGUUGGGCCUGGUUAGUAUUUGGAUGGGAGACUACCUGGGAAUACCAGGUGCUGUAACCU
rnacentral:rRNA from 1 species